rnacentral:rRNA from 1 species
UCGCCUGUUUAUCAAAAACAUCUCUAAAUGAUUUUCAUUUUUAGUAAGACCUGCUCAAUGACCAUUUUAAAUUGCCGCAUUCAAUGUGCUAAGGUAGCAUAAUCAUUUGCCUUUUAAUUGCAGGCUAGCAUGAAUGGUUAUCCAUGUUGAUUUCUUUAUUAACUUUAUUUCUUCAACUUUUCCUAUGAGUUAAAAGACUCAUAUUUUUAAGAGGGACGACAAGACCCUAUCGAGCUUUACUUAUGUUGAACUGGGGCGGUAUAAAACUAAAUCUUUCUUAUCUCUUUUGCAAAAAUUCUUUAAAUAAAAUUUUUAAGUUACCGUAGGGAUAACAGCAUUAUUUUCUUUUUUAGUUCUUAUUCUAAAGAAAGUUUAUGACCUCGAUGUUGAAUUAUUAAUCUUUUUGAAGCAAAAUUUAAAAAAGAAAGUCUGUUCGACUUUUAAAACUUUACGUGAUCUGAGUUC